GAUGAACGCUGACAGCAUGCUUAACACAUGCAAGUCUUUGGCGAAGCUGUGCUUGCACCGCCUAGCCAAGGCGGACGGGUGAGUAACGCGUAAGGAACUUGCCCUGCAGUCAGGGAUAACAGACGGAAACGACUGAUAAGACCUGGUAAAGUCAGGCGGACUCAUGUCCAGCCUGAUGAAAAGAGAUGCUGCAGGAGAGCCUUGCGUCCUAUUAGCUUGUUGGUGGGGUAACGGCCCACCAAGGCGAUGAUAGGUAGCCGGCCUGAGAGGGUGGACGGCCACAAGGGGACUGAGAUACGGCCCUUACUCCUACGGGAGGCAGCAGUGGGGAAUAUUGGACAAUGGGGGCAACCCUGAUCCAGCAAUUCUGUGUGCACGAUGAAGGUUUUCGGAUUGUAAAGUGCUUUCAGCAGGGAAGAAAAAAAUGACGGUACCUGCAGAAGAAGCGACGGCUAAAUACGUG
rnacentral:rRNA from 1 species